GAGUUAAGCAGUGAGUGGCCGAGUGAGGAACACGCUAACGUGGGAGGAACGAGAAAGGGCUGUUUCAGACACUCACGGCGUGGCAGCAGAUCCAUUCCAAUAUCCCGCUACCACAUCAGCCACUGGACAUUAAAUGUGAGGAGAGGGGACUGCAUGUAGACAGUUGGCUGAAGGAGGCCUUCACUGCAAACUCUUCAGAACUGAAGCUCAUCUUGACAGAUCACCAUGGCUCUAUGCCACCAGGAGCCUGUUACCUUCAGAUCAUACUGCCCAGGAAGCGCUGGCCAUAUGCUCAUACCAUUUGGUGAAAACAAAACAAAAAAUGCAGAACUAACAACAUAAGCAUUGUGCUUUUAAAAGUCCUGUUCAAUAUAUCUACACUGAACAUGUAAAAUGCA